UAUUCUGCCCCACGGGGAAGGAUGAGAAGCUUCGACUAAGGUUCGACUUGAGCGAAGCGAGAGAACGUUGCCGCAGGCAACGGCCCGAAGGGCGAGGCGCUUUAGCGCCGAGUAAUCCUUCCCCCACCACUG
rnacentral:sRNA from 1 species